rnacentral:sRNA from 1 species
GAGAGGCUCCCCACCCACAGGUGCUCACAUUCUGGCUCGGGGGACGAGGUUGGGCUUCGAGGUGGUGUGCUUCAGCCUCUGGCUGCAGCCCCUUCUCACCUAUAGUGAGGCCGGGAAGAUGACCGGGAGUGCCAGGCUCAUGCAUCCUCCGCUGCAGGGAGGAGAUCUGGAGGUGGGGACUGAACAGCCUCCCCACUGGCUAAGAGAAACACGUGCAGAGAAGCGCUUUGCUGGAGGGCAGGACCCAGGCAGUGGGUGCCCAGACAGGGGAGAGAGGGAUUUGGACCUAAGGCCCAGUGAGCCCUGACAUAGCACGUGGAUUCUGCCGGAAGGUCACAGACCUGCCUUGUUUGCCUCUGGUUCUGAGUACCUCUCCUCCUUACUGCAGUGUCCCCUGAAGGUACACUCUGGCUGCUUCCCACACACUGGUGCAGAAGCAGAGGCCAUGCUCCUGGAUGCCUGCUUGCCUGAUGCUAGUUCUUCUCUGUCUCAUACACGCAGGGCAACAGGUUUGUCUAUGCUGGCUCCAACUCGGGCGUGGUCCAGGCCCCGCUGGCCUUCUGUGGGAAGCACGGCACCUGCGAGGACUGUGUGCUGGCGCGGGACCCCUACUGCGCCUGGAACCCGCCCACAGCGACCUGCGUGGCUCUGCACCAGACCGAGAGCCCCAGCAGGUAUGGGGCGGGAUGCGCUGCCUGGGGAUGUCCCCCAUGUGUGUGGGUGAAUAACACGUGCCGGUUGUUUUGCAGGGGUUUGAUUCAGGAGAUGAGCGGCGAUGCUUCUGUGUGCCCGGAUAAAAGUAAAGGAAGUUACCGGCAGCAUUUUUUCAAGCACGGUGGCACAGCGGAACUGAAAUGCUCCCAAAAAUCCAACCUGGCCCGGGUCUUUUGGAAGUUCCAGAAUGGCGUGUUGAAGGCCGAGAGCCCCAAGUACGGUCUUAUGGGCAGAAAAAACUUGCUCAUCUUCAACUUGUCAGAAGGAGACAGUGGGGUGUACCAGUGCCUGUCAGAGGAGAGGGUUAAGAACAAAACGGUCUUCCAAGUGGUCG